rnacentral:lncRNA from 1 species
CCCCAGUUGAUCGUGGCCUCCUGGACUCCUACCCCGGCCCGCCAUCAGAGCCCUCCCCUAGAAGCCUGGCCAGGUGCGGGCCGCGCUCUGGCCCAACGCAGUGUUCCGGAGGAUUCGGAAAGCCAGCACGGGAGCGAACUGCGCAUGCCCCGGCCGCAAAACUGGUCUUCCGGGAUCUGGAAGCGCACGGGGCCUCUGCGCUGGCUUCUAGCGCUGAACCCUGGGGCCCCAAACCAGUGUCUGUCACAGUGCAAGGCCGAUCCAUUCUGAGUUCAGAAAAUAAGGUGUGGCAGGCCGGCAGAAGACCUGAAGAGGGGCCGCCUGAUACCUCCUGGUGCUGUUGGCUUUGGCAUCUUUCCACCGCCCGUCCGCAGUCAUCCUCCUCUCUCUCUUCCUGCAAACGCUGACAGCUGUUAGUGCUUUCAGAAAUGGUCUCGUAUGUGUGGUUUGCUCUAUACAACAUUAAGAGUAGUCCUGAUAAUUCUCUGAAAAAAACCUGUGAGUUUACUGAGGAAAUGCUGUGAAAAGAGAAAGUACAUACUGCAACUUCAAGGAUCUAUUUAUUUGAAGGAUGUCAGAGUUUGCUCCAAUAUUCCAUUUUAAGUCUUUCCAGUAAUGCAGGUAUGUACAAAUUUAUCAGUCUGAAGACUUUGUCUUCACUUUUAAUAUUACUAUUAUGAUACCAAAAGAAAAAAAAAAGGAGUGCAACUAAUUGCAAGUCAAAUUCUCCAGAGUAGCAUUUAGGUACUACUUUACUAGCAGAAUGUAUUAGUUAAUUUGUUUUGUGAGUCCUGGGCUGGGAGAAUUACUCAUCUGGUGAUAUUGCAAAAUGCUGACAGCCUGUAAUGCUAAAUGGCUUCUUUAUAGACUGAAAGAACUACCUGUAUUUCUUCAGGACAUGCUUGUUUUUCUGGCUUGGAAUCAGCUUGCAUUCCGGAAUGUGUCAGAGCAAAGAGUGGACCAUAGUGUAGGAAGAUACAGACAUUUAAAAAGUCCACUUAAGAACUCUCUCUGAGGCGUAAAGGGAUUUCAACAGCGGGAUCCUGUGUGGAGGGAUUUCUGGAGACCCUGAGUAGAGGUUAGCCAGCCUGGGGAACAGAAAGUCUGUCUACUGUGUGAGGAUUAUAGGCUAGAGCACCCCAUGAGAGAAAAAUGUGUCAGGCCCUGAGAACAGAAAGCCACUAGGUCAAGUGGAAAAUAGCUCCUCUCAUUCUCUUCCUGCCUGGACCAUCAGCAAACUCUCACAGAGGAUGAGGCUAUCUUAGAAAAGGAGCCAAAUAUUAUUAAAAAGACAAGAAAAAACAAGUGUUGGAGAGGAUGUGGAGAAAAAGGAACCCUCAUACACUGCUGGUGGAAAUGGAAAUUGGUGCAGCCACUAUGGAAAACAGUAUGGGGAUUCCUCAAAAAAUUAAAAAUAGAUAUACCACAUGAUCCAGGUAUUCCACUUCUCGGAAUUUAUCCAAAGAACACAAAAAUACUAAUUUGAAAGAUAUAUGCACCCCUAUCUUCAUUGGAGCAUUAUUUGCAAUAGCAAAGGCUUGGAAACAACCUAAGUGUCCAUCAACGGUUGAAUGGAUAAAGAAUAUGUGGUGUAUAUAUAUAUGUGUGUGUAUAUAUAUACAUACAUAUAGAUAUACAUAUACACAUACAUACAUAGACAAAUAAAAAGCCUCAGCCAUAAAAAGAUGAAUUCUUG